rnacentral:lncRNA from 1 species
ACCCCGCCCUGGAGCAGCUCUGGAACAAGGGCAUCCCCCUCCUGGUGGAGCACCUGGAAGGUGAGGAAGGGAGGGGCUUCUCCUGGGGUCACCUUCUCCAAAAUCAGAGAAUCAGAGAGUCAGAGAAUCAUGGAAUCAGAGAAUCAGAGAAUCACAGAAUCACAGAAUCACAGAGUCACAGAAUCACAGAGUCACAGAAUCACAGAAUCAGAGAAUCACAGAAUCAGAGAAUCACAGUCAUAGAAUCAGAGAUCACAGAGAUCACAGAAUCACAGAAUCACGGAAUCACAGAAUCACAGACUCAGAGAAUCACAGACUCACAGACUCAGACUCACAGAAUCACAGAAUCAGAGAAUCACAGACUCACAGACUCACAGAAUCACAGAACACAGAAUUACAGAAUCAUAGAAUCAUAGAAUCAUAGAAUCACAGAACACAGAAUUACAGAAUCACAGAAUCACAGUCAGAGAAUCACAGAAUCACAGACUCACAGAAUCACAGAAUCAGUCACAGUCACAGAAUCACAGAAUCACAGUCAGAGAAUCAGAGAAUCAGAGAAUCACAGUCAUAGAAUCACAGAAUCAGUCAAUCACAGAAUCAGAGAAUCACAGUCAUAGAAUCACAGUCAGAGAAUCACAGAAUCAGGGAAUCAGAGAAUCACAGAAUCACAGAAUCAGAGAAUCACAGAAUCAGAGAAUCACAGAAUCACAAAAUCACAGAAUCAGAGAAUCACAGACUCACAGAAUCAUAGAAUCACAGUCACAGAAUCAGAGAAUCAGAGAAUCACAGUCAUAGAAUCACAGACUCACAGACACAGUCAUAGAAUCACAGAAUCACAGUCAUGGAAUCAGAGAAUCACAGAAUUACAGACUCACAGAAUUACAGAGUCACAGAAUUACAGAGUCACAGACUCACGGAAUCACAGAAUCAGAGAAUCACAGUCAUAGAAUCACAGAAUUAGAGAAUCAGUAUCACAGAAUCAGAGAAUCACAGAAUCAGAGAAUCACAGAAUCAGUCACAGAAUCAUAGAAUCACAGAAUCACAGUCAUAGAAUCAGAGAAUCAGAGAAUCAGUCACAGAGUCACAGAAUCAUAGAAUCACAGUAAUAGAAUCACAGAAUCAGA